UACGUAGGGUGCAAGCGUUAAUCGGAAUUACUGGGCGUAAAGCGUGCGCAGGCGGUUAUGCAAGACAGAUGUGAAAUCCCCGGGCUCAACCUGGGAACUGCAUUUGUGACUGCAUAGCUGGAGUGCGGCAGAGGGGGAUGGAAUUCCGCGUGUAGCAGUGAAAUGCGUAGAUAUGUGGAGGAACACCGAUGGCGAAGGCAGCCCCCUGGGUCAAGAUUGACGCUCAUGCACGAAAGCGUGGGGAGCAAACAGG
rnacentral:rRNA from 1 species